rnacentral:rRNA from 1 species
UAGAGUUUGAUCCUGGCUCAGAACGAACGCUGGCGGCGUGCCUAACACAUGCAAGUCGAACGAGAAUUUUCCUUUCGGGGAAAUAGUAAAGUGGCGCAAGGGUGAGUAACACGUGAAUAAUCUGCCUACGAAUUCGGGAUAACGCGGGGAAACCUGUGCUAAUACCGGAUAAGACCACGUCUCUUAUGUGAUGUGGCCAAAGGAGUCUCAAACUCCGUUUGUAGAUGAGUUCGCGGACCAUUAGCUUGUUGGAGGGAGUAAUAGCCCCCCAAGGCGACGAUGGUUAGCCGGCCUGAGAGGGUGAUCGGCC